rnacentral:lncRNA from 1 species
GAAAUCUAAGGUAAGAAAUGUAAAGCAAUCUACACAUAUGUCAAAUCUUGUGUAGAUUGCUAAUUUUGACACCAUUUAUGUAUAUUGAGCUAAUUCUCUCUUUAAUUAUUUGUAAAUAUUUUUAUUUAUUCAUACAUAAGCUUUCAAAAUUUUAUCGGUUAUAUUCGUUUAUGAAACUUUGUAUUUAUCAUCACUCUAGUUUUUUAUAUCUUUCUACAAAUAUACAUCAAAUUAUACCAAAAAACAAUUACAAAAAUAUAGUUUACAUAUUUAAGAUGAAGAACUCAACUAAUGCAAUGAAUAAAAAUAAUCAAUUUUUUCUGAACUAAAAUCAAUAUAUUAUACUUCAAUCUGAAGAAAUAUAUGAUUUCAAUAUAACC